GUGUCAGCCGCCGCGGUAAUACGGAGGAUCCAAGCGUUGUCCGGAUUUAUUGGGUUUAAAGGGUGCGUAGGCGGACUUAUAAGUCAGAGGUGAAAGCCGGUAGCUUAACUAUCGAAUUGCCUUUGAAACUGCAAGUCUUGAAUUUUGUUGAGGUAGGCGGAAUGUAUCAUGUAGCGGUGAAAUGCAUAGAUAUGAUACAGAACACCGAUUGCGAAGGCAGCUUACUAAGCAAAUAUUGACGCUGAGGCACGAAAGCGUGGGGAUCAAACAGGAUUAGAAACCCUCGUAGUCC
rnacentral:rRNA from 1 species